AAAUUAUAGCAGUGAAAUUCAUAUUCUGUCGUAAUAGUAGAGAAAUAAAUAAUUAAAUUUACGGGUGUAUGCAUCAGGCUUCCACAGGAUGUGCUACGAUUUCUGUGUGUGAGUUUGUGUGUGUGUGUGUGUGUGUGUGAGAGGGAGAGGGAGAGCGAGAGAGAUAGAAAGGAAGCGAUUAUAUAAGACGGCAGUAUCACGUUCCUCAGAUACAGUGAUGUUAGCGACAUCAGCCGAGAUGGCGAUUUUGUAAACACGCACGUUUGAGUUUUGUUGACUUUUAUAUUUGUCCAACGUACCUUAGAAGGCAGUGGUCCCAAUUUACAUCUAGACCACUCAAAGGAAUAUUUAUCUCCGAUAUGCUAACGUGUCUAACACUGAACCGGUUAGCGGGUAGUCUUGUUUAAUUUAGCAUUAACCGGCACCCGCUAGGUUUCGAAAUGCUAAUCUCUGUGACGUACGUGUGUUUAGUGCAGACAAGAAUUUCUCUUAUUUAUAAACAAUGUGUUUGGGUCGAGCUAUGCUAAUACGACCGUAACCAUCUCCGAAAGGACGACUUUUACAGCCGUACGGACACGUUCAUAGACACAUCUGCAGGAUCGGGUUCAACAGGCACCGCCUGCCGCGCUACACGCAUCUUAUCUUUAUCUUAUCUAUUGCGAAGCUGUCGUAUUGCUCGUCUCACGUACACACAGUCGCCUCGCGUUUUCACACGGCGAGAGAAAAUCAAGGCGCUAGUCAGCGACGAAUAACGUCUUUCUUUUUUGUCUUAACGUGCGACGCAAGGACGAAACACCAGGUUGCGCUACAUGUUCAUGUCCCCUUAAUUGUGUAUGAAUUCACGUUAACUAGCAAACCAGCUCAAGACGUAUAUUUAUGUUACGUCAGCUAGCGCUUUUUAGCCAGGCCCAUUAACUCUGGACGUGACGCUGGAGCUUUUUCAUCCUCGUUUAAAUGAAUCCAAUUCCAAAAAAUUUCCCUUAAACGCCCGUUUGAAGUCAUUUGUUUCCGUCUCUGUUCCUCACACAUACACCGCGGACGCGACGGAUAAACGUUAGCCCGGAAGACAGCGUUUUGAGUGUUCGCGAUCGCCAUGACGACGUGAGCUGUAGCCGAUGUCCGUUUCGUCUCGUACGUCUGUACGUACUUGUAUGUUUGUAAAUAAAACCGAUGGCACGUAAUUGUCUUAGAUUCUCGAGGCACACGCCGUAUCCGACCGUCGUUCCGUGACCGACCCGACGACGUCGCGUAGCCGUGCGUUUCUCAUUAGAAGCACACGAGAUAGCGUCACGGUGAUUUAUUUUCACUGGCUUUAAUUUGAAGUUCCUGGAACUGUGUAGCGAUUGUACC
ensembl:lncRNA